rnacentral:rRNA from 1 species
UUUCCGAAGUUUCGCAAGAUCCGUAGCGAACGGGUGAGUAAAACACAAAAAUCUACUUUUUAGUUUAAAAUAAUACAUAUUCAUUAAAUUGAAACAAAUUAAAAUUUAUGUUAAUUUUUAAAUAUUUAAAAAGGCUAUAAUUAUAUUCUAUAGCUGCUAAAAAAUGGUUUUGUUAAAGAUUAGGUAGUUGGUCGAUUAAUAGUUGACCAAGCCCGUGAUCUUUAGUUGAUUUUAGAGAAUGAUCAAUCACACUGGAAUUGAGAUAAGGUCCAGGCUAAUUUAAUUGGCCAGCAGUAAGGAAUAUUGGACAAUGGACGAAAGUUUGAUCCAGCAAUACUAUCUAAUUGAAGACGGCUAAAUUGGUUGUAAACUUUUUUCGUUAAAAAUGAUAAUGACAUUAUUUAAAGAAGUUUUAGUCCCGGCUAAUCUCGUGCCAGCAGCCGCGGUAAAACGGGAGGGGCAAGCGUUACUCGAAAUAAUUGGGCGUAAAGAGUUUGUAGGUUGUGAUGAAAGUUAUUUGUUAAAUUUUAAAGCUUAACUUUAAAUCGGCUUAUAAUACUUUUUCACUUGAGUUUUUUACAAAAGAGUAGAAUUUUAUAUGAAAAGGUAAAACUUAAAGAUAUAUAAAGGAAUACCAUCUAGCGAAAGCAGUUCUUUAGUAAAAACUGACGCUGAGAAACGAAAGUAUAGGUAGCAAACAGGAUUAGAUACCCUGGUAGUCUAUACCGUAAAUUAUGAAUGCUGUAAUUUAAAUUUUUAUUUAUUUUUGAAUUUUUAAUUAAUUAUUAGAUUUUUAAGCUAACGCAAUAAGCAUUCCGUCUGAGGAGUAUAAUCGCAAGAUUGGAACUCAAAGGAAUUGACGGGGGCCUAAAACUAGUGGUGGAGCAUGUGGUUUAAUUCGAUAAUCCACGAAAACCUUACCAACUCUUGACAUAAAAUUUUGAAAUAAUAUACUUGAUUAAAGUAUAAAAGAAACAUAUUUUACAGGUGCUGCACGGCUGUCGUCAGUUCGUGUCGUGAGAUGUUUGGUUAAUUCCUUUAACGAACGUAACUCUUAUUUUUAAUAUAAACAAACCUUUCUUUCUUUGAAUAAAGUUUAAAUCUUUUAAAAAAACUGCUGGUGACAAAUCAGAGGAAGGAGAGAAUCAAGUCAAGUCUAUGUGGCCCUAAUGAGUUGGGCUACACACGUGCUACAAUGGAAAUUACAAAAAAAUAUUAAAAUUAAAAGUUUGUAUUAAUUCUUAAAAGUUUCCUUAGUUCGAAUUGUAGGCUGCAACUCGCUUACAUGAAGUUGGAAUCACUAGUAAUCGCAAAUUAGAUUGUUGCGGUGAAUACGUAUAUUGGCCUUGUACACACCGCCCGUCACAUGCGAAAAAUUAAUUUUACUCGAAGAUUUAUUUUUAGUAAAUCCAUUGAACGGUUAAUAAUUUGUAUGAAGUCGUAACAAGGUAGCUGUACGGGAACGUGUAGCUG